rnacentral:lncRNA from 1 species
GCACGCGUAACUUCAGCAAUUUAUUGUAUUGUCUACACAUUAUGCUACAUGUUAUUAUUUAGGUUAGCUGGUGCAGUGGAAGUUUGUUGCCGAUGUUUUUUAGAACUACAUGACACUGCCGCUAACUUCUAAGUUGUAUGGUUCAUAAUUUAUUUUGUGAAGAUGAACUGACCAGCAUCUGUUUAAUUGGCAUGGUGAAAAGAGUGCCCUAGCUGAUCCAACUUGCACAAAAUCGAUCGAUUCUUCAAAAGAGGAAAUACAUAAAAGUACUCCAAAUUAUAACCUGAAGAUCAAAUAAGUAUUCUUUGAGAAAUUUGGAGACAGAAGAACUACAGUAAAUAGAGUCAUGUUUAAACCAGAGUUACCGGAUUCGCUGGGCGAGGCCUUGAACUUCGAUCCAGAUCCAGAUCCAGAUUGGGGUUCGAUCCAGAUCGGAAAUCACUGCCCAAUUCGCCGAACUAGAACUGAUCUCAAGUUUCCUCCCGAUUCGUGGAUCUCAAUUGAACCCAUCGAUUCAGCAGCCAUUACGGGCUAGAUACUACUGCAGCUCCUCUCUUGCCAGGGCUGUCCAGGUGACGAUGGUGGUGGAGACAUGGCUGUCGGCCCGUCGCAGCUCCUCAUGUGCAGCGGCGAUACAUGCCUGCAGGCUCCUCUCCAUCCACCAGAGCACGAGCGGCACGGGAGAGAGAGCAGGGAGGGGGGCGUGUAUUAAGGUGGAGACGAACUAGCAUUAGAACAGAGGAAAGAUGCGUGCCUGAAGCGAGGUAGAAGAAAGAUGUGUGCGUGUGUGGCGGCUGGGGUCACAAGGACUAGGACGUCAGGAUGUGAACCCAGCAGGUUAGGUUUUCAUUCUCCGGUG